UACGUAGGGUGCGAGCGUUGUCCGGAAUUAUUGGGCGUAAAGGGCUCGUAGGCGGUUUGUCGCGUCGGGAGUGAAAACUCAGGGCUUAACCCUGAGCCUGCUUCCGAUACGGGCAGACUAGAGGUAUGCAGGGGAGAACGGAAUUCCUGGUGUAGCGGUGAAAUGCGCAGAUAUCAGGAGGAACACCGAUGGCGAAGGCAGGUCUCUGGGCCACUACUGACGCUGAGAAGCGAAAGCGUGGGGAGCGAACAGG
rnacentral:rRNA from 1 species